rnacentral:rRNA from 1 species
AUUGAACGCUGGCGGCAGGCUUAACACGUGCAAGUCGAGCGGAGAUGAGGUGCUUGCACCUCAUCUUAGCGGCGGACGGGUGAGUAAUGCUUAGGAAUCUGCCUAUUAGUGGGGGACAACAUUCCGAAAGGAAUGCUAAUACCGCAUACGUUCUACGGGAGAAAGCAGGGGAUCUUCGGACCUCGCGCUAAUAGAUGAGCCUAAGUCGGAUUAGCUAGUUGGUGGGGUAAAGGCCUACCAAGGCGACGAUCUGUAGCGGGUCUGAGAGGAUGAUCCGCCACACUGGGACUGAGACACGGCCCAGACUCCUACGGGAGGCAGCAGUGGGGAAUAUUGGACAAUGGGGGGAACCCUGAUCCAGCCAUGCCGCGUGUGUGAAGAAGGCCUUAUGGUUGUAAAGCACUUUAAGCGAGGAGGAGGCUACUGAGACUAAUACUCUUGGAUAGUGGACGUUACUCGCAGAAUAAGCACCGGCUAACUCUGUGCCAGCAGCCGCCGUAACAC